rnacentral:piRNA from 1 species
UGCCAUAUAACGGAGGAACAAUGUUCCCACCC